AUUGAACGCUGGCGGCAGGCUUAACACAUGCAAGUCGAACGAUGACUAACUAGCUUGCUAGUUAUGAUUAGUGGCGGACGGGUGAGUAACAUUUAGGAAUCUGCCUAGUAGUGGGGGAUAGCUCGGGGAAACUCGAAUUAAUACCGCAUACGACCUACGGGUGAAAGGGGGCGCAAGCUCUUGCUAUUAGAUGAGCCUAAAUCAGAUUAGCUAGUUGGUGGGGUAAAGGCCCACCAAGGCGACGAUCUGUAACUGGUCUGAGAGGAUGAUCAGUCACACCGGAACUGAGACACGGUCCGGACUCCUACGGGAGGCAGCAGUGGGGAAUAUUGGACAAUGGGGGCAACCCUGAUCCAGCCAUGCCGCGUGUGUGAAGAAGGCCUUUUGGUUGUAAAGCACUUUAAGCAGGGAGGAGAGGCUAAUGGUUAAUACCCAUUAGAUUAGACGUUACCUGCAGAAUAAGCACCGGCUAACUCUGUGCCAGCAGCCGCGGUAAUACAGAGGGUGCGAGCGUUAAUCGGAAUUACUGGGCGUAAAGCGAGUGUAGGUGGCUCAUUAAGUCAUAUGUGAAAUCCCCGGGCUUAACCUGGGAACUGCAUGUGAUACUGGUGGUGCUAGAAUAUGUGAGAGGGAAGUAGAAUUCCAGGUGCAGCGGUGAAAUGCGUAGAGAUCUGGAGGAAUACCGAUGGCGAAGGCAGCUUCCUGGCAUAAUAUUGACACUGAGAUUCGAAAGCGUGGGUAGCAAACAGGAUUAGAUACCCUGGUAGUCCACGCCGUAAACGAUGUCUACUAGCCGUUGGGGUCCUUGAGACUUUAGUGGCGCAGUUAACGCGAUAAGUAGACCGCCUGGGGAGUACGGCCGCAAGGUUAAAACUCAAAUGAAUUGACGGGGGCCCGCACAAGCGGUGGAGCAUGUGGUUUAAUUCGAUGCAACGCGAAGAACCUUACCUGGUCUUGACAUAGUGAGAAUCCUGCAGAGAUGCGGGAGUGCCUUCGGGAAUUCACAUACAGGUGCUGCAUGGCUGUCGUCAGCUCGUGUCGUGAGAUGUUGGGUUAAGUCCCGCAACGAGCGCAACCCUUUUCCUUAUUUGCCAGCGGGUUAAGCCGGGAACUUUAAGGAUACUGCCAGUGACAAACUGGAGGAAGGCGGGGACGACGUCAAGUCAUCAUGGCCCUUACGACCAGGGCUACACACGUGCUACAAUGGUAGGUACAGAGGGUUGCUACACAGCGAUGUGAUGCUAAUCUCAAAAAGCCUAUCGUAGUCCGGAUUGGAGUCUGCAACUCGACUCCAUGAAGUCGGAAUCGCUAGUAAUCGCAGAUCAGAAUGCUGCGGUGAAUACGUUCCCGGGCCU
rnacentral:rRNA from 1 species